UACGGGGGGGCAAGCGUUGUUCGGAAUUACUGGGCGUAAAGGGUUUGUAGGUGGCCAACUAAGUCAGACGUGAAAUCCCUCAGCUUAACCGGGGAACUGCGUCCGAUACUGGAUGGCUUGAGUUCGGGAGAGGGAUGCGGAAUUCCAGGUGUAGCGGUGAAAUGCGCAGAUAUCAGGAGGAACACCGGUGGCGAAGGCGGGACUCUGGGCCGAUACUGACGCUGAGGAGCGAAAGCGUGGGGAGCAAACAGG
rnacentral:rRNA from 1 species